rnacentral:rRNA from 1 species
UACGUAGGGUGCGAGCGUUGUCCGGAAUUAUUGGGCGUAAAGGGCUCGUAGGCGGUUUGUCGCGUCGGGAGUGAAAACACCGGGCUUAACUCGGUGCUUGCUUCCGAUACGGGCAGACUAGAGGUAUGCAGGGGAGAACGGAAUUCCUGGUGUAGCGGUGAAAUGCGCAGAUAUCAGGAGGAACACCGGUGGCGAAGGCGGUUCUCUGGGCAUGACCUGACGCUGAGGAGCGAAAGUGUGGGGAGCGAACAGGAUUAGAUACCCCCGUAGUCC